rnacentral:rRNA from 1 species
UGCGUAGGUGGCAGUGCAAGUCAGAUGUGAAAGGCCGGGGCUCAACCCCGGAGCUGCAUUUGAAACUGCUCGGCUAGAGUACAGGAGAGGCAGGCGGAAUUCCUAGUGUAGCGGUGAAAUGCGUAGAUAUUAGGAGGAACACCAGUGGCGAAGGCGGCCUGCUGGACUGUCACUGACACUGAGGCACGAAAGCGUGGGGAGCAAACA